ensembl:lncRNA
CCUGGUGAUUGAUAUGCAUGUGUGCGUAUGGGUGUUUGUUUGGUGGAUGACGUAUCACUAUGAUUUCAAGGCCAGAUGACUUUCUUUGAAGAGGACAAACGAGAGUUCGAAUGAGUGCAUGUGUGUGAGGUGAACUGGAUUGAUCAGGUCAUUGUAUGAAGGCCAACUUGAUAAAAAUGCAGGAAUACAAAGAUAGUCGUAAGUCUUGGCUCUGCAUGAUAUGCACUCUGUUCCAUUCCAGGGAAUUCCUUCUGAGAAGUUGGAUUUCUCUGUAUUCACCAUGUGGCACACAGACAGAACCCUCUCAUAGAGAUAGUUUCUCGAAUGCUCAAGCGUGUUGCAGGAAAUUUGGUUUUCAGAGAGAAGCUCCUGUCCAAACACAAUCCUGUUACCGCAGCUCAUCUGGACAAAUGUUUGUCUGCAACCCUCUUGGAUGUCAUUUCUCUUAG